rnacentral:rRNA from 1 species
GAGCCAAAAAGCUAGCUUAAUUAUUAAGACAACCUAACAACAUUAUCUUGUCUUACACAACCCCUACCCAACUAAUCAAACCAUUUUCCUGCCUUAGUAUGGGCGACAGAAAAGG